GACCUCGGAUCAGGUAGGAAUACCCGCUGAACUUAAGCAUAUCAAUAAGCGGAGGAAAAGAAACCAACAGGGAUUACCCUAGUAACGGCGAGUGAAGCGGUAACAGCUCAAAUUUGAAAUCUGGCCUUUACAGGUCCGAGUUGUAAUUUGUAGAGGAUGUUUCGGGCAAGGCUGCGGUUUAAGUUUCUUGGAACAGAACGUCAUAGAGGGUGAGAAUCCCGUCUAGAACCGAUGGCCGCGUCCAUGUGAAACUCCUUCGACGAGUCGAGUUGUUUGGGAAUGCAGCUCAAAAUGGGUGGUAAAUUUCAUCUAAAGCUAAAUAUUGGCCAGAGACCGAUAGCGCACAAGUAGAGUGAUCGAAAGAUGAAAAGCACUUUGAAAAGAGAGUUAAACAGUAUGUGAAAUUGUUGAAAGGGAAGCGCUUGCAACCAG
rnacentral:rRNA from 1 species